AACCAUAGAAACCUGCGGAGUACCUGCGGAAGGAUCAUUAUCGAGUUGCAAAACUCCAACCCUUUGUGAACAUACCUCAGUCGUUGCUUCGGCGGUGGACGGCCUGUUUUUCGGAACGGCCGGAAGCCGCCGGAGGUUCCAAACUCGUAUUUUUUAGUGUAUCUCUGAGCCUGAAAACAAAUAAUCAAAACUUUUAGCAAUGGAUCU
rnacentral:misc_RNA from 1 species